rnacentral:rRNA from 1 species
UACGUAGGUGGCAAGCGUUGUCCGGAAUUAUUGGGCGUAAAGCGCGCGCAGGUGGUUUCUUAAGUCUGAUGUGAAAGCCCACGGCUCAACCGUGGAGGGUCAUUGGAAACUGGGGGACUUGAGUGCAGAAGAGGAAAGUGGAAUUCCAAGUGUAGCGGUGAAAUGCGUAGAGAUUUGGAGGAACACCAGUGGCGAAGGCGACUUUCUGGUCUGUAACUGACGCUGAGGCGCGAAAGCGUGGGGAGCAAACAGG